rnacentral:tRNA from 1 species
AAAAAGGUAAGCUAAAUAAGCUAAUGGGCUCAUACCCCAUACAUAAAGGUGAUAACUCCUUUCCUUUUUA